GCAAAUAUCCAAAUAUCAAACAUAUUUGAGGACAACUUGCCUUGUCAUUAUAAUACCAAGGAGUUUGAAAGCAAUUCUUGUAGCUCUAAUCUGCUAAGGUACCACUAAACAAGCAAGAUGAGCAAGGACAAGAAAGUGAGUGGGUACUCGGCGGUCUUGGUGUUGCUAGCCUCGUGCUUCAACGCCUCCGGUGAAGGCAAAGGGUCGAUGUCUUUAAAUAUAAAGCGGCACCUUCUGCUCCAGAGGCCACUAUGGUUGCUGCAGCUAAGCAUUUCUCAAGUGCUCAUAAAGUACGGUUCAAUUAAUUAGUUUCUCUGCUAAGUAUUUCCAGAUGAAGGAAUGCUAGAUAGGGUGUAUGUGUCGAUUCUUUUACUUGAUAUGUAUAGUGGAUACAGAUAAUUGUAUAAUUAUAAUUUUCACAUUUUUCUUAGAUGACAACAGAAGUAGGAUAGUUCAUAUGUAUUUGUUGUGAUUAAUAAAUUAAAAAAGACAGCUAAUUGGACUUUCUAAUUGUCAUAGUUUUUUUCUUUCAACUUCAGUUUACAUUAAUAGAAGAUCA
rnacentral:lncRNA from 1 species